UGAGGAAUAUUGGUCAAUGGGCGAGAGCCUGAACCAGCCAAGUAGCGUGCAGGAUGACGGCCCUAUGGGUUGUAAACUGCUUUUAUGUGGGGAUAAAGUGCGUGACGUGUCAUGCAUUGCAGGUACCACAUGAAUAAGGACCGGCUAAUUCCGUGUCAGCAGCCGCGGUAAUACGGAAGGUCCGGGCGUUAUCCGGAUUUAUUGGGUUUAAAGGGAGCGUAGGCUGUCUAUUAAGCGUGUUGUGAAAUUUACCGGCUCAACAGGUGGCUUGCAGCGCGAACUGGUCGACUUGAGUAUGCAGGAAGUAGGCGGAAUUCAUGGUGUAGCGGUGAAAUGCUUAGAUAUCAUGACGAACUCCGAUUGCGCAGGCAGCUUACUGUAGCAUAACUGACGCUGAUGCUCGAAAGUGCGGGUAUCAAACAGG
rnacentral:rRNA from 1 species